rnacentral:snoRNA from 1 species
CCCCAGUGAAGAAACAUCCACAUGUCUUACCUCCUGUCCUGGUCCCAGAGCCUGAAAAGGUGAACCCACUGGGGCUGGCUGGGGGACAAGAGGAGAGCUUGUUCCAGAAGGAACAGUCUGAGGGAU